GUGACUAUAAGAAAGGAAGGAAUUAUCAUGAUAAAGGAAGGAAUUACUAUGAAAAAGGAAGGUAUCGCUGCCUAUCAUACUCACUUAAAGGAGAUUUUCCGCACCGCAGAUUCAGACGACGACGACGCGUUCACCUUCCUCAUCCAUGCCGACCUCUCCCUACACAACGAGGACAGUCGGCGGUCGCUACCCCCUCGACGUCACCACCGCUACCGGCCAUCCUCGAGCGCCCAGAGGUCGCGGGCAGAGCGGAGGAUGCGAGGUAGCGCGAGAUCCACUCCGCCCGAGCCGCUGGAGCCGUGGCCUCCAUCACCAUCGCUGCCCUGCUCGCACUCGCCUCCGUCUCCGAAUCUGAAUCCCACCACAAGGUAUAUUUAAACGGUUUAUCAGACUAUAUGGAGAUGUUGUAUACACACUACAUGCCAACUGGAAAAGUCUAUACACAAUAGAGUUUGUGAGCCUGCGAUACCGUGAUCUCUGUGACCGUGUUAAUUUCAUGAACUUUACUUUUUUAGAUUAAAUGUCACUUUAAUAUCAUUAUUUAAUUAGUAUUAUUAUCUUAUCGUGUGAUCUGAGUGUUCUUAAUAAUAUUCUUA